AGGUGGAGCCUGCGGUUUAAUCGGACUCAACGCCGGGAAACUCACCAGAUAAGACAGCUGAAUGAUAGUCGGGCUGAAGACUCUACUUGACUAGCUGAGAGGAGGUGCAUGGCCGUCGUCAGUUCGUACUGUGAAGCAUCCUGUUAAGUCAGGCAACGAGCGAGACCCACGCCAACAGUUGCCAGCAUGUCCUCCGGGAUGAUGGGGACACUGUUGGGACCGCCUCUGCUAAAGAGGAGGAAGGAAUGGGCAACGGUAGGUCAGCAUGCCCCGAAUUAUCCGGGCUACACGCGGGCUACAAUGGUCAGGACAAUGGGUAUCGACACCGAGAGGUGGAGGCAAUCUCCUAAACCUGUCCUUAGUUCGGAUUGUGGGCUGCAACUCGCCCACAUGAAGCUGGAAUCCGUAGUAAUCGCGUUUCAAAAUAGCGCGGUGAAUAUGUCCCUGCUCCUU
rnacentral:rRNA from 1 species